AGGAGGAAGACAAGGGGCUAAUAACAAAUAGUGGGUCAGGGAAAAUUGGUAAUGGUUGGGUAGAGGCAGAGGACUUAUUAGAGGAAGUCAAAGGAAUAAAAGUGGGCAGGAGUGAAAAGUGAGUGGGAGUGAGCGAGGUGGAAAUGACAGAAGUGCCACUGAUAGACAAGAUAAGAGUGAGGCGAGGAGCGAAGGAGACUGGGAAAUGGGUCUGAGCACCUCCGAGUCUACAGGUGACUGUUUUUUUGGCAGGAGUGGGUGGAGAAGGUAAGUGUGCGAGACCAUCAUAAAGAUGAAUAGGUUGGACAGUGCAAAGCUGCGUGGAGUAGAGAGUGGUGGAGCUGCUGGAGUGGGCCGGUCAAGUGCACAGGGAGCCGAGCAAAGCAGUCAACGUGUAACAGGCGGAGGGGAGGAAGAGGAGAGACUGGAGCAGAAGAGUGUUAGAAAAACUGACAGAGGGACUUUCACUGCUUGAUGGGUGGCUCAGACUUACAGCAGGACCAAAGAAAAGUGCUCGACUUGACUCGCUGACUGAAGGGACGCUGAGCAGCUGUUUCACUUCACGGAGACUGAGUCUUAACAAACUGUUCGACAGGACUACAACAACAUCACUCCUGAUGCUUUGUGCUGCAGUCCUGACCUCCAGUUUUUGACUGCACCGUGAACAGCUUUCGUGACAACGGAGGUCGAAGAUAUUGAGGACUAUCUGAGACACUGAUUUGAGAGAAGGCUCUGAUCUUGUCCCAGUCCACAGAGAAGGAUCAUGGACAUGAGGACACAAGGGAUAGGGCAAGAUGGAGACUGAUGAUCCGCUGUGGUAACCCCUGAAAGGGAGAAGCUGGAAGAAGAAGAAGGUGUUGUCCCGGUUGAGGACAAGAUCCUGUCCCUUCAAGUCAUAGCUCCAGGACUGAAUUGUAUAUAAGAACCAGUAUAGGAUGUACGUUCUACCCAUGUAUUUUAUGGAUGAGUGGGUAAGGGGUGAGUCUCAACGGACCACUGAUCGCAGUUGGAUGUAGUGAAAACAAGAAAGUCCAGGCAGGGAAUACGUUUUUGAAAGGAAAGCAAACCUUUUCUGUCAUAUUAGUCCAAGAUUUUUAAUGCAUUGCCAAUAAUUGGGCCAGACAUUCUCUGUUUGAAUGUUUCUCUGUUUGAUGGUUUCACUACCAUUGAUUUUUUAGUAAUCACUUAUGGCGUAUUUCCACCGGCUCUACUCGCCUCGGAACGACACGGCAUGAUUAGGUUGCAUCUCCACUACUAAAAAGUACCUACUAAAAAGUACCUACUUAAUGUGGGCGGAGUCAUCACUGCACGUCAUCACUGCACGGCUGAGUGAAACUGCGAUGACUUCCUUUUAUAUGCGACACACACGUGGAGUGUCAGAGUACAUGUCGGGGAGCUACGGUAGCCUUCACAUGCCAGAAAGGAUGUUGUUUUCCUUAAUUUGCACACUAAACUUCUACCUCAAAACACGUAAAAACACACUCUGACUGCUUUUGUAAGAUGGCUUUUAUUAAAUGUCGUAUCAGGAGACAUUAUAUAGACUUUUUAACAAUUCUUAGUGCUAUAUAUUUAAACGAUUUGACACCUUGAUUUGUCAGUUAUCAGCUUCAAGGUGUACAGAAAAUGUACACCUUAAAUUUUCAGGAAAAAUGACAAUAGUGUGAUUUGGAUGACUAUCAGACGUAUAAGAUUGCAUGUACCAUAAAUGGAUGAUUUUAUCCAUAAUACCCUCCCCUUGUCACAAUCAUGAA